rnacentral:lncRNA from 1 species
CCAUAUCGAAUAACUAGAAUACGAUACAAAAUACUCAUAACGGUACAUGGAAUUACAUUAAAAAUUACAAUAAAGUUCUUGAACAACAUAGUACAAGACUUAAAAUAAUGUUGAAAGUCUCAAAAUCUGAUGCAUAACUAGUCAAUUAGUACUAAUACAUGUAGGAAUUAGCCAUAGUUCAAAACAUGAUAACUCAUAAUCAACUAGAUAUCAUUUUUGCAUCAGUCACUACUCCCAAUUAGCUUACCCUUGCCUUGCUCCACCUGUUUACCUAUAACAAAAAGUGGGGGGGUGAGACAGUCACUUCGUCUCAGUGGUUCCAUCUACCUAAGUAUUAGUGAAUGAGCUUAACCUGUCUAUUAGUUGAUCAUAAAUUAUAAACAGAUUCAUAUGCACAAUUCAUAACA